rnacentral:rRNA from 1 species
GAUGAACGCUAGCUACAGGCUUAACACAUGCAAGUCGAGGGGAAACGAUGAGAGAGCUUGCUCUCUUAGGCGUCGACCGGCGCACGGGUGAGUGACGCGUAUCCAACCUGCCCAUUACAGGGGAAUAACCUUGCGAAAGUAAGACUAAUGCCCCAUGGUAUUCCCAGCAGACAUCUAAUGAGGAUUAAAGAUUAAUCGGUAAUGGAUGGGGAUGCGUCAGAUUAGCUUGUUGGCGGGGUAACGGCACACCAAGGCGACGAUCAGUAGGGGUUCUGAGAGGAAGGUCCCCCACAUUGGAACUGAGACACGGUCCAAACUCCUACGGGAGGCAGCAGUGAGGAAUAUUGGUCAAUGGACGAGAGUCUGAACCAGCCAAGUAGCGUGCAGGAAGACGGCCCUAUGGGUUGUAAACUGCUUUUAUAGGGGAAUAAAGUGAUCCACGUGUGGAUU